AUGCAUGCCUUAUAUGAGGGGCGUUUCCUUUCUUUUGAGGGGCUGAAUUCUUCGAUCAUCAGGCUUCUUUCCAAAAGAGAUGUUUCGCUGCAUCUUGGAGACUUCAGGCCUAUCAACUUGAUCCAUGGGACAGCUAAGAUCUUUGCCAAGGUUUUGGCAAUUAGGUUGAUGCCAGUGCUACCGGAUAUUAUUUCGCAAGCCCAAAGUGCUUUUAUC
rnacentral:rRNA from 1 species